UACGUAGGGUGCAAGCGUUAAUCGGAAUUACUGGGCGUAAAGCGUGCGCAGGCGGUUUUGUAAGUCUGUCGUGAAAGCCCCGGGCUUAACCUGGGAAUUGCGAUGGAGACUGCAAGGCUUGAAUCUGGCAGAGGGGGGUAGAAUUCCACGUGUAGCAGUGAAAUGCGUAGAGAUGUGGAGGAACACCGAUGGCGAAGGCAGCCCCCUGGGCCAACACUGACGCUCAGGCACGAAAGCGUGGGGAGCAAACAGG
rnacentral:rRNA from 1 species